CUUACACAUGCAGUCGAACGAUGAUCUCCAGCUUGCUGGGGGGAUUAGUGGCGAACGGGUGAGUAACACGUGAGUAACCUGCCCUUGACUCUGGGAUAAGCCUGGGAAACUGGGUCUAAUACCGGAUAUGACCAUUCCGCGCAUGCGGUGGUGGUGGAAAGCUUUUGCGGUUUUGGAUGGACUCGCGGCCUAUCAGCUUGUUGGUGGGGUAAUGGCCUACCAAGGCGACGACGGGUAGCCGGCCUGAGAGGGUGACCGGCCACACUGGGACUGAGACACGGCCCAGACUCCUACGGGAGGCAGCAGUGGGGAAUAUUGCACAAUGGGCGCAAGCCUGAUGCAGCGACGCCGCGUGAGGGAUGACGGCCUUCGGGUUGUAAACCUCUUUCAGUAGGGAAGAAGCGAAAGUGACGGUACCUGCAGAAGAAGCGCCGGCUAACUACGUGCCAGCAGCCGCGGUAAUACGUAGGGCGCAAGCGUUAUCCGGAAUUAUUGGGCGUAAAGAGCUCGUAGGCGGUUUGUCGCGUCUGCUGUGAAAGACCGGGGCUCAACUCCGGUUCUGCAGUGGGUACGGGCAGACUAGAGUGAUGUAGGGGAGACUGGAAUUCCUGGUGUAGCGGUGAAAUGCGCAGAUAUCAGGAGGAACACCGAUGGCGAAGGCAGGUCUCUGGGCAUUAACUGACGCUGAGGAGCGAAAGCAUGGGGAGCGAACAGGAUUAGAUACCCUGGUAGUCCAUGCCGUAAACGUUGGGCACUAGGUGUGGGGGACAUUCCACGUUUUCCGCGCCGUAGCUAACGCAUUAAGUGCCCCGCCUGGGGAGUACGGCCGCAAGGCUAAAACUCAAGAGA
rnacentral:rRNA from 2 species